UUUUUUUUUUUUUUUUUUUUUUUUUUUUUUUUUUUUCUGAUUUAGUGCUUGUUCCCUCUGUAUGACUCUCUCCCCACAUUCAAGACUGUCAGGGAAAAGCUGUAGAUAAGAAUAUCUGUAAACAGUGUUUUAGUGUCUCCCACACAGCAGUCUGGAACUGUCUCCCCUCGUGUUUUUGAAGGUUCAUGGAUUUCCCAAAUCAGUAGGAGUUUAUUGAUUUAUAUGCAGGCAAGCUUGUGUUACUACUUUGGUUACUCUUGUGCUUUUUCCUGGCUACUGCUAAUUAGCCUGGCAGAUCUUCCAGUGUUGCUUACAUGUAAUAGUAAAUGAAUAUAUCUUGUAUUGAGUUAUCAUAACAUUUUUUUUUCUAUGUUCCUUAAAAGAAUAAAAGGCACUUUGAAAACUCUUAUCUGAUAAAUGAAAGAGAUCCAGAUUGUGACCUGAUACUCAGAUAGUGCAGUCUCCUGCACUUGGACUAUCCCAUAGCCUCUUGUCACCUCAUACAGGUUCUUCUGGGAUAUUCAGGUCACUCCCUUGCUACUGCUUUCCUGUUAGUUACCCUCUGAAAGGUUUGUCCUAUCUCUCAAUUACAAUCCUACUCUGUCUCUGACAUCUCAUUGGGAUCCCAGCUCAGGUUAAAGGUUCUUUCUCUCUUCCAAGCUCUCACUCUUCCCUGUGUAUACAGAUGGAGUUUUUUUUUCUCAGCUGCUGUAGGCAGUCUCACCCUCCUGCUUCUUCAGUCUUUUGAGAAACAGAGGUGCCCAGGCUCCGGCUGACCUUGAGCCCACGUGUUGCUUCCCCAGGCUGCAGGCGGCGUGGAGAGUUCUGGCUUCCCCGGGGCCCUCCGUGCAGGCUGGAAGCCUGUCUGGCUGUGGAACAUUUCCUUUCCUCUGAGCAGAAACCGGGAUGCUGCUUUAUCUCGGGAGGUGGCAGCACAGCCAGAUCGAUCAGCGUAUGCAGUUUGACGCCCAGAACUGCAAAGGGGUGGCAGGGAGGUGGGGUUGUUGUUGGAUUCCUUCCGAGAUAGAGCUCCUUAGCUAGCAGCAAGGAUUAAGAUGGGGAGCACAGGGGUGCUCAUGCAUAGCAGGGAUAACUUCAAGCCCUUUCUUGAAGCAGAAUGGAAUCAGCCUAGCAUCCUCACGGUAACAUACUGGGAUCCCUCUGUCCUGACCGUGUUCUUCUGUAUGAGCUGCAGCUGAUUGUUAGGUGUGGUGUGGGACCCAGUGUGGGGACAGUGUAAUUUGCUGAGCCUGCAGGCACAGACCCAAUUGCUUGUUUGUUCAUGUGUGGGGAAAGGCUCUGCAGGAGUUUGGGCAGAGUCAGUAUGUAUCGUAUCGUGGGCUUUGCAAGCACCCACUUUCCUGCAGGCUGCCACAAUGGUUGCAUGUUGUUUUAGUUAUCAAGCGGUUCAAGGUAAAAUGCCAAGAGAGAGGAAGAGAAACAAUCAGUCACCAUCCCAUUAAAUACUACAACCUGCUCCUCUCUCAGAACCUUACCUGUUCUUUUUAGCCAGUUUGGAGGCUCCCAUUUUCUCAUGAGGUUUUAAUAAUUGUUUAUAAAGACAGGGGUACUAUAUGGGCUUUAAUGUGACCGUCAUCUGGAAAACAUACACAGAGGUGGGGUGUUUGGGUUUCCACAGAAAGCAAACACAGUGUGGUCCAAAAGUUGAUGAGAUAUAUUCCUUAAAUGUACCCCUCUGGCUCUGUUCUCUGAAUUUGAUUUCCCUAUGCCAAGCACACUGAAUCAACUGGAGAUGCUACAGAGCCUUGUACAGAGCUUUACUGGGAGGUUGUUUGCCUACUUCUUGAACUUUGAGAUUGUGGCAACACAAAAUAACCAUAGAUUCAGUAUUGCCCCAACAGUAAUUUAUGAAUGCUGUCUGUGGGCUUGUGCAUCCAAAAGCAAAGGGUGCUAGAAAUCCCAACUUGGACAACUCGAAUAAUUUUACUAACAUCAGCAACUGGAGGGCAGCCAACCAGUCAGGCCUACAGUUCUUUAAAAAGUAAUAAAGUGCACCUGAUUUUUGCCUCCUGGAUGGCAACCACUGACUGGCAACUGGUCCCAUAUACUAGGUAAUUUCUGCUUGAUGCUGCUUAGGGCGCCAUUGAAACCAUAACUUGAGCAGGCAGCACUGAGAGGGUGAAGCAGAGAACGGCAAGAGAAAACCUGAGGUUUGUAAGCACUUAGAAAAGGGCCAUCUCCCUCUUUGCUCCUGGCAGUCAUGGAAGGCCCAUACUUAACUCUCAAAACACUCUCACUCUGAAGAGUGUUUGAAAGUUCUGCAAUUCUCUUUCAGACCAGCUCUUUUCCUAACUAACCCAAGUGCCCCAGAAAGAUCCUGUCACACUGGAGGACCAGUCACGGUAACUGCUCAUCUUCUCUGGGGCUGGGAAACAGAAUGCAAACAGCUCAGGCAGUGAGGACUAAGCAGAUCCACCUUUCCUGUCUGCAUUUUCCUUCUAGCUCAGCUCUGGGGGAUCCUCCCACUGCCAUGCGGAUCCCUCUGCCCUGGAGGGACAAGUUGUAUCAGUAUGGCCACCACAAGCCUUCUGCACCACCAUGUGCAGGUGCAGAGCCAGGGCUGCAAGCAGCCACUGCUCCAGCAGUAGUUCCACAGCAGUCCAGUCAGGAACACGCAUUCAUAGUGCAUGUAUGGAGGAGGGAAGUAUUUGAGGGAUAAAUCCCACAUAGGAUAAUGUUGGUGACUGUAGAAAAAUAAACAACAAACCACCAACAGAAUGAAUAGAAAGGAGAAGGGCAGUGACCAAAAUCCAAGACAUUGGUUUUGAAAGGUUGGUGGUACAUUGCCUUUAGGAACAGUCUUUGACAACUGGGAGAGAGUUUGUCUCAGUUUAAUUGGGACUAACCAUAUUCACAGCAGUUGUCACAUGUCACCUAGUCUGUCUCCCUGCCUUUUCAAUUUGGCAGCCUUCUCUUUUUCCUCCUGCAUGUCCCAGAGGUUUGAAAAAUGAUCCAUUCUUCAAAGCAUCCCUGGUAAUUUGGACCACAGUGUUAUACUUCUUUUGAGACUGAUGCCUUUCAAAGCUGGAGCCUUUCUUCCUGCAGCAGCUCCUGACAACCCUCUAUAAUAUAUAGCCUUAAGAGGGGAAAACAGGUCUGAGGAGAUACACUUUUACUAGGAGGAAAGACAUUAGAAACGGCACUAAAAUGAACAGAAAACAGAUUAUUUCAAGCAAAGAAGGUAGCUUAGCCCUUUUUAUGAAGUGCAGGACUAUACUGUCACUAAUUUCACUUUGAAAAAUGUACUGGAGAUCUCUCAAUGCACUUGUUAGUAAAAUGCAUCUGCAUACCCAGAUCAGUAAUUAUGAACUAACUAAACAUGGAGAUGCAAUAUGUGUUCUGUCCUGCACCAUGUUUGCUGUCUUUCUUGUUUUCCUAAGAACACUCCCACCUUUUUAGCAAGAUUUAACUCGAGAUCUGCGUUGCUACAUUGUUUUUUCUGCCAGAUAAGGAAUGAUAAAUCCAGACCACGUGACUGCUGGCUGUAUGGCUUUACCCCAUUGGCAACCACCUCACCCUUCUGAUAUCAGCUGAAAGUGGGGAGACUAAAAUUUUAUACUACCUUAUAAGUCACCUAAAGUGAAAAUGAAUGUUAACAUCUCUCUGGUAUGUGUAUGCCCUAGUCUACAUGUUUGAUCAAUGUCGUGGUUUCUUGAGAAAUGUCCUGCUGGAGAUGUUGCCAUACACAUUUAGGAAUUAAGGUUAGAAUUGGUGCUUCUAUUAAUAAGAAAUCUUGCAAAUUCUGAUUUGAAAAUAACUGUUUUCUGGAAGGUGAAAAGUAUACUUUUUGAAGCACCCAACCCCCAUUUUCAAAAUACUCCUUUGCAAAAAUCCUGAAUAUGGAGCAACAGGACAGAAACCUGAAUUUGUGCAGCUGCAAUUUAUAGUGAUAGAGAUGCCCCAUAACCAAGCAGUAUCUGGGGAAAGGGGCAGUUCAGUGAAAUGGAAGCUUACCAUGUAGGUAAUGAGAGACAUUAAAGGGUGUUUACAUGAGGGAGGGCAUUUUUCUUCUUCAAACUUACCUUUAUUGUCUGUGCAACUUUCAGGCUCAGCCUGAUGCUGCAAAUAUUUAGGUAUGUGCAUAAGUCAAGGCACAAGUGGUACAUGUCUUUUAAAUAUUAAUCCAAAUCCAAACAUUAAAAUUAUUCAAACA
ensembl:lncRNA